AAAGAUUCCUAAAGCUGCAAGAGCAUCUGGCACCUCUGAUUCCCACAUGGAGAGGUUGAAUAGCCCCAAAAUGUGCCACUGUCUUUCAGAGAAGACACGGACACAAGGAAUCCUAUAGGAUUAAAUUCCAAAUUUCUGCAUAAAACCACGUUUAGAAGAAUCUGUGACUGACUGAUUACUAAACAGUGGCUUAUCCUUGGAAACUCAUUAUGCCUAGUGAAAUCUACCAAUAUAGGCAAGAGUUUAAUCUGCUGCAAAUGGUAAACCAUGGAAGUAGACUUGGAGUUUGGUAGUGAUGAGAACAGAAGUCUCUGUGAGCUUGUCAGCAAGGCCCAGGGCAUCUCUGUCGCCUGGAACAGCUCUGAAGAUGUUGGCCACACAAGUUCUAUUAAUCAGCACCUGCAGAGCGAGCACUCACAUCUAACUGAGUUCAGGGUCAGCAAACUGGAUUCAGUAUGUUCAAUCUAAAACUACACGCCAUUGUUAAAAGGCAGUGCAUUGUUAAUAAACAGGAGAACAAUUGUCCAAAAGCCUUCGAAAACUAGGUUUUCAGGGUUU
rnacentral:lncRNA from 1 species